rnacentral:piRNA from 1 species
UGGAAGAGUCGCUCUACAUACACAAC